UGGCAAGACCAAGCAAACCUGAUGCGCUUCAUCACCUGUUAUAGGUCUCACCUUUUUCCAUAGACUUUCAAUAACUGACUUAAGGAAAGUACAUGGCAUCACGUUGAACAAAUUCUUUGACAAUCAAUGGAAAUUUUGACCUGCAGAAAUUCUGAGAUGUGCAAGGCCUUGAAUUGCAGCCUCCUAUUAUUCAAGUUCGUGAUCUGAAAUCACACUGUGAAACAACAUGGAAAGUCCAAUUACUUCUUCUGGCCUUGAGUAGAAAACAAAGUGAAGGAUGCACUAAAGAGGGUAAAAAAGUUAAAAAGAAUUGCUGCAGAAGAAACGGCAAACAUUUGGAAACAAUCAACAAAGCUGAUAAAGUGAAGCAAUUGCUUCUGAAAGAGGUCCUGGAUACUCAUAAAACAGUUGUAUCAGGCAAGGUGUCAUCUGAGAAAUAAGAUGCUUUUCUUAAAUGGCAAAUGGUGCAGCACAAAUUAGAGUUUGCCACUGAUAAAUUUUCUAAGCCAAUAAGAUAAGUGAGUGAAAUUCUAGUAAUGUAUACAAGUGCAAUCUUGAUCAGACCUCUGUAGACGUCAAGGUUCUCUGACAAGAUGCAUGGAACAAGAAAGAGGAAGUUUACUAGAGAGGUUCAAAAUUCUUAGCCAACUUUGUCAUGUAACAUGUUUAUUGUUGCGGCUGCCUGGAUUAUUGUCAUAUUGUAUACUGUUACAUGACGCCUAGAAGAUCAAAUAUUCAUUUGGAAUGACAAAGACUCAACUUCUAUGAAUUAUCUGAUACCAAAUUCUUUUUGAACAUAACCCGGGGACUUGCUUUUCUACGUGACAACAAGCCUGAACCUAUUGUUCAUCCUUCGAUUGGAACCAGGGAACAUUUUGUCAGCUAGGAGCUAAACAAGAUUGGCGAUGUUGGACGUCUCCUGUCCUGUUGUGCCUGAUGGUUGCAUCGUGUGCAAAAGAAACUAUUCUUCCUGGUACAUCUUAUGACAUGGAUCCUGGAUAGCAAGGAACUGGCAGUGUUUGUCCCAGCAAGCUCACUGACAGGGCUUACCCAAUGGCCCGAUGACGCGGAAAAGGCACUGAAAUGAGGAACAUUAUCUGAUGUGCUUGACCAAUAAAUAGCAGAUUGGUCUCUUGCUGUGGCAGAGUUUAGCCAAGUUUUCUUUACAGAGUUCAAGCCCGAGAUGGUUGCAUCCUGAUUCAGAGAAAUUUCCAGAUUUGAGGAUAUAUAAAAAUCGAGGGAAUGGUUAUUUUAAAUUGAGGCAACACAAUAUAGAUGCACAAAAAAGAUUGUAUCUAUCCAAUGAUACAGAGAAGGUCGGUCGACGUGGUCGGGUCGGAUCGACUCCGUCAACUGCCAUUCACCCGCCCGAACUUGCCACCUGAAUUCGGUCCGAAGUCCAAUGUGUGAUGCGUAGAGAAGACUCGACUCCGCCUUAUUACCAGCAGCCACUUCUCUCUCUCUCUCUCUCUCUCUCUCUCGCUCGCGGACACACUACAGCUCUCCCUCUCUCUUUGGUUAUUGGUUAAUCACAGUGAUGCCACAGUACCACCACUCCAGUCCCUAUUUCGACGACGAUGACGACGAAGAGCUCAUCAAGAAGAGGAGGAAGCCGCCGCCCAGGCCCUCCCCCUUCCUAACCCCGUCCUCGCCGCACCCACCCCGCCGCGCCCUCCUCAUACUGGUCAUCCUCUCCGCCGUCUGUCUCAUCGUCGGCAUCGCUGGGAUCGCGUUCGCCGCCGCCGCCAUCCGCCGACCCCCGCGCAUCGUCACCGUCUUCCGCUGCGGCCGCGCCGAGGACACCCUCCGCACCUUCCGAUCCAAGUCCCUCGCCGCCACCGGCCGGCCCGAGGAGGGCGUGGCGGCGAGGCCCAAGGUGAUUGGGGUCGUCGGGGUCCUCACAGGGUUCUCUUCCUCCGAUCGUCGGGCUGCGCUUCGGGAUACCUGGUUCCCUCGUGAUCCUGACGCCUUGUCUCGUUUGGAUCAUGCUACUGGACUGGCUUUUAGAUUUGUGAUUGGGCAGACAAAGGAUCCAAAGAAAAAGGCAGUGCUGCAGAAAGAAGUAGAGACGCACAAUGACUUCAUGUUUGUAGAUGCUGAUGAAGAUAACUAUAAGUUGCCCUAUAAGACGGUAGCAUUUUUCAAAGCAGCUUUCAACCUUUUUGAUGCAGACUUUUAUGUGAAAGCUGAUGAUGAUAUUUAUUUGCGGCCAGAUCGACUUGCCACUCUUCUUGCUAAGGAUCGAGCACAUCGUCUUACUUACAUUGGUUGCAUGAAGAAAGGCCCAGUUAUCACUGACCGAAAUAUGAAAUGGUUUGAAAGUUCAGGCCAUUUGAUUGGGAAUGAGUACUUUCUACAUGCACAUGGUCCGAUAUAUGCUCUUUCUGCUGAUAUUGUAGCUGCUUUGGCAAGUGCAAGAAAUGAUAGUUUGAGAAUGUUUAACAAUGAGGAUGUCACCAUCGGUUCAUGGAUGCUUGCCAUGAAUGUGAACCAUGAAGAUACCAAAGCUUUGUGUGAACCUAUAUGCACAUCAACAUCUAUUGCUGUCUGGAGCAACCCGAGAUGCUUAGAUCCAUGUGACCUUAAAGAGAAACUGAUGGAGCUUCAAAACGUCAGUAUGUGCUCAAACAGCUCGACAUUGCCUCCUGAAGAUGACGAAGAUGACUAGUGCUAGUUUGUUGUCCCAAAGAAUUUUUGCAUGACAUAUUCAAGAAGGGCUCACUCACUGGCGACCAAUCUACAAAAGGCCAACAAUUUUCAGAUGCCCCCUUUUUCUCAUAAUGGUGCAGACAAAAGGGAGACAAUUUUCAGAUGCCCACUCUGAUCAAAAUCAUAUCUUGGAGGUAACUAGCGAUGUCACCCACUGCUUCAUGUCAAUUUCAUUGUACUUCCACAUAAUGAUUUGAAUUCUAAGAUUCUAAAGUAAAUGUUGACUAGCAACUGCGUAUGUGUUGAUAGAGUAAGUCUCAUCUUUACCUGUCGUCGGUUCACAACAGCCUGUGUUGGCCAACCUGGAGAAGAAACAAAAGAAUCAUCACAAGAAUCUCUUACACUCGAUCAGGCUGCAUUACUUUGUGCUAAAAUACUCUUUAACUAGGCGUUCAGUUUCAAAUACAUGCGACUAAAUCAUGCUGAACUUGUCCGAAUGUUCUGGUGAACAACAAAUUUGGAGGAUAUAUAUCAAACCUAAAAUCAAACAUAAACACCGGUAGCAAGGAGCAGGAAUAGAGAUCCAAAACCC